rnacentral:rRNA from 1 species
AUGAAGCCAAUGAUUAAGGCACUUAUUCAGCAGUGUGAGAUUUGCCAACUUGCAAAACCUGAACGAGUGCCAUAUCCUGGAUUAUUACAGCCAUUACCAGUUCCUAGCACUCCUUGGGAAAUGAUGACGAUGGAUUUCAUUGAAGGCCUUCCAGUUUCUAAGCAAUUCAGUUGCAUCUUGGUGGUUGUCGAUAAACUGACUAAAUAUGGCCACUUCAUACCGCUUCAGUGUCCUUAUACGGCAGCCAAGGUCACCGAGGUUUUCCUUGAUCAUGUUUACCGUUUGCAUGGAUUACCACUUUCCUUGUUGUCUGACCGAGAUCCUCUGUUCACAAGCAUAUUUUGGCGGGAUCUUUGUCGUCAGACUAGUAUCAAGCUGUGUAUGAGUUCAGGGUAA